rnacentral:rRNA from 1 species
GACGAACGCUGGCGGCGUGCUUAACACAUGCAAGUCGAACGGAAAGGCCUGCUUUCCCUUGUGGAUUGCGGGUACUCGAGUGGCGAACGGGUGAGUAACACGUGAGUGAUCUGCCCCCAACUUGGGUAUAAGCCUGGGAAACUGGGUCUAAUUCCCGAUAGGACUGCAGGGUGGUGCCUGUGGUGGAAAACGAUUUUCUAGUGGUUGGGGAUGAGCUCGCGGCCUAUCAGCCUGUUGGUGGGGUAAUGGCCUACCAAGGCGGCGACGGGUAGCCGGCCUGAGAGGGUGGACGGCCACAUUGGGACUGAGAUACGGCCCAGACUCCUACGGGAGGCAGCAGUGGGGAAUAUGGCACAAUGGGCGGAAGCCUGAUGCAGCGACGCCGCGUGGGGGAUGACGGCCUUCGGGUUGUAAACUCCUUUCGACCGCGAGGAAGCCACCUGGUUGGAAGGGUGGUGACGGUAGUGGUAGAAGAAGCACCGGCUAACUACGUG